UGCAACCUUUUGGCGUACAGGACAAUGCUGCAACCAACUGAACCACCAUCCAGGGCCAUACCAAUUUUCUUAUGAUUUCCUUUUCAUCCUCAUAUUUAAUUGAAAAACCUACUCUCUACUUAUUCCAAUUAAACCCAUCAAUCCCCAAAAGUACUUGCUUGUUCCAUAAGUUCUUCAUAUUAACAUGUCUUACAUUAUUUAUAAUUUUUUCAUUAAUGAUCCAUAUUUCCCAUGAAAUUGAAGAAUAUGCUGGUGAAAUAUUAAGUACUUAAUAUGUGUUGAAUUAAUAUUGAACAUUUUAUUGUUGAUGUUACAUAUCCUAAAACUUACAUUCAUGUUAUGUUUAAUUGUUGGUUCAAUCACUCAUAGGUUUUCUCAGCUACAAUGUCCCGCUUUUCAGAUGUCAAUAACAAGUUUGGUAUGUUACUUGUCAUUCAAGAUGAACUAUGUAAUUUAGUUUUCAUGCUGACGCCAGAUCAUUUCACUAAUGGCACAGUAUACUAUUCAUUUUAUAGUCAUAUAGGAUGCAUACUUGCAACAAAUAAAUACGGAGUAGUGGAAACAGCAUAAAGAAGAAGACGUGAUCCUUGCCUUUUCACAUCCAGAAAACCUACAGGGUACGCAGGGUGAGGGGAGUGAGCAGGAAAUCACCAGCGAGUAUGAUGAGUCUGAGGGGUAUGGUAAGUACAAGAUACUCUGAAAGCACAUACAGAGGACACCUAAUCUAAACUCAGGGGUUCCGAAGGGACAAGCUGAUCCCUGAAGAGUAGGCAUUACCCCAGCAAACAAGGCUUGGGAAGGUCAGAGGAAUCCUGGGUAUGAUCUGAAAGCAGUGAAUACAGGGAAAGUUAAUUUAAUUUCUUAAAAUUUCACUGGCAUAUUUAGUUCAGAUUCAGAUUUUCUAAGAUUCCAGUUCACAUCUUAAAAUCGAACAAAAUUACCUCAAACCAAAAGGACAUGUUGGGUAUAUUUUUUAAAUGAUAUUUCAUAAGUUAUUAUUAUUCCUAAAAUAUUUGCAAGGGGAAAACUAUUUUUCAUCCUGUCUUAGGUCACAUCCCUGAAAGCUUUCACAGAGGGAGUGCGCUCAGGGGAAGGGAUGUGAGAAGUAGGAGAGGACAGGACAAAGAGCUAACCAGGAGUGUGGCUGCAGCGGGACCCCCCCUUCAGCCAGUGACUCGGGAGCAUGAAUUGAAUCACAGAGUUGGUCCCACCUUGAGGCUGAAGUGCUACUGGGGAAAGGUGUGUGAAGGGAUGAGAUGCUCUCAAAAGUCUCCUGUCAAUCUGGGCCCGACAUAGCAGGUUUUAGGUUUAUAUCAUCAAGAUGAUCUGUUGUUAAAGAGAAGUGACGAGGCUAUAUUUUCUUUGCAAACCUGAGUGAGGAUGUGACUAAAUUGGCAAUUCCAUUUCAUGCAUUUUAUGAUUCUUUACUUCCUCAGAGCUUUCUAAUCUUUUUCUGGAGAUGCAGAUUUUCUUUGUUCAUUUUCCAAAUAAAAAUCUCCUUUCUUGGCUCCCCUGACAUCAACCGCCUUAGUCUUUGCCUAUAUAUCCAGAUGUCUCAUUUCACAUAGCUUUGUCCCCAGAUCUUUAAACUCAGCCAUUUCUCCAGGCUCAAAUUUUGGCACCACAUCCUGAUUUAUUCUGCAUGAAGUAUUGUUUCAUGGAAAAAAAAAUUGAUAUACAGCAUAAACUAUUUUAUAAAUAGUU